GUAACCGAAAGGCGGCGAUGAGACGCGAGGAGCCCGAGGCGACGCCGGAUGGGGCGGCGCCGCGCUGCGGCAGCGGCGCGGACAUGGGCCGAUCAUCCGCCAAGAGCACCCCAUACCAUGGAUGCUGCUGAUCUGCAGAAACUUAUUCACUUGCUCCAGUCCACAGAUGAUCCAUUAAUUCAAGAGCAAGCUUUAAUCACUCUCAGCAACAGUGCUGCCUUCUCUGUAAAUCAAGAUAUAAUUCGAAAUUUGGAUGGCCUUUCUAUUAUUGGAAGGAUGCUCUCGGAUUGCAUUCCCAGGGUUAAAGAAAAAGCACUAAAUGCUCUUAAUAAUUUGAGUAUGAACAUUAAAAAUCAGAAAGAGAUACAGGUAUAUAUUAUGCAAAUUUGUAAGGACAUUGAGUCAGCUUCCCUGAACUCUGAUUUGCAGCUAGCUGGACUCAGAUUGUUGACAAAUAUGUCCGUUACCAGUGACUACCACCAUAUGAUGAUAAAUUCAAUUCCAUGCUUUCUUCAUUUGCUUUCAGAAGGAAAUGAAAGGACACAGAUUCAAGUUCUGAAAGUACUUGUGAACCUGUCUGCAAACCCAGCCAUGACAAGACACAUUCUCAGAGCUCAAGUACCAUCAUUGCUGUCUCUUUUUGACAACUGUAUAAACAGAGACAUUCUGCUCAGAACCCUCAUGUUUGCAGCAAAUUUGAAAAAGAAUGUGAACAAUGAAGAUGGCACCAUGCUUCAGAACCAUUACAUCUUCUUCUAAUCUGUAGUCCAGCCUGAAGCUCUUCCUGGAGGUCCUGGAAGAAUCACUGCCCCUGGAACCUCGACCUGAAUUCUGGUAUUUCCUCACUGCUUCUUUGGGAUACUGGUUGCACACAGUUUCAAACCAACAGAGGAAGACUACUAUUCUAUUUAUGAGCAUUACACCGCUUUCUUAACUCAAGAUAACGGAAAACAUCCUUCAGAAUAAGGUGGCUUACCCACAAGAUGGAAAAAAGGGAUUGCCAUCAUUUGUACGGGAGGCUUGGACAGAAAGCACCACACCUCCACAGCACCUCCGUGCUCAGAGACGCUUCACUCUUCCAACUUCAUUCAGAGAAGGGAAAGCACCCACGCGGAAGAGCUACUGAAUGAGACUUUAUGUAGCCAUGCCAAAUUCACGGUGCCAGAAAGUGCUGUAGGCAGAAGGAAAGAACAACACUAUAUGAUGAAUGGGAUGAAGCCAAAUAUGAAUCAAGAGGCAGAGCUCACAUAACUGGUUUUCCAGCACCAAACAUUAAGGACCUCUACUAAUCUACAAAGCAAAAGAGAAAGUGUAGGUUGGGCAUUGGAAACUCAUGCCUUUUGGCAUGGCAAAUAGAUUUAUACCUAGAAAAUAGGUAUAGCCGUUGGGGUAAUAGGUUUUGGAUCAGUCCUUCGUUUACUUUAGCAUUGCUUAUAUGAUUGAAAACUUGAAUACAAGAAAAAAAUA